rnacentral:pre_miRNA from 1 species
AAUAAACUAAUUUUUCACUUUUUAUUUAUAAUUUUUGAUUUUUCGUCUUAUUCAAAUUUUGUUUGUGAUUGAUAUUUUUGUUUUUAUUAGAUAAUAAAUCAUGAAUAGUACUGUACGUGUGACUAAUUUUUUUUCUAAUUUUCUGAAAAUUUUUUAAAUAAGACGAAUGGUCAAAUGUUGGACACAAAAACCGAAG